CCCCUAGAUGUUCUGGGCCGCACGCGCGCUACACUGAACAGUUCAACAAGUCUUAACCUUGGCCGAUAGGUCUGGGUAAUCUUUGAACGCUGUUCGUGAUUGGGAUAGACCUUUGCAAUUAUGGGUCUUCAACGAGGAAUUCCUAGUAAACGCAAGUCAUCAGCUUGCAUUGAUUACGUCCCUACCCUUUGUACACACCGCCCGUCGCACCUACCGAUUGAAUGGUCCGGUGAAAUCUCGGGACGGCGGCUUGGUCGCUUGCGUCCGACUGCUGAAACUUGAUUAAACCAUAUCAUUUAGAGGAAGGUGAAGUCGUANCA
rnacentral:rRNA from 1 species